UACGGAGGGGGCGAGCGUUAUUCGGAAUUAUUGGGCGUAAAGGGCGCGUAGGCGGCUUGAUGUGUCAAAGGUGAAAUCCCUCGGCUCAACUGAGGAACUGCCUUUGAAACUGUCUGGCUUGAGGCCGGGAGAGGGUAGCGGAAUUCCCAGUGCAGCGGUGAAAUGCGUAGAUACUGGGAGGAACACCGGUGGCGAAGGCGGCUACCUGGACCGGAACUGACGCUGAGGCGCGAAAGCGUGGGUAGCAAACAGG
rnacentral:rRNA from 1 species